rnacentral:rRNA from 1 species
AUACGUAGGUGGCAAGCGUUGUCCGGAAUUAUUGGGCGUAAAGCGCGCGCAGGCGGGACUUUAAGUCUACUUUAAAAGUGCGGAGCUCAACUCCGUGAUGGGGUGGAAACUAAAGUUCUUGAGUGUCGGAGAGGAAAGUGGAAUUCCCAGUGUAGCGGUGAAAUGCGUAGAGAUUGGGAGGAACACCAGUGGCGAAGGCGUCUUUCUGGACGAUGUCUGACGCUGAGGCGCGAAAGCCAGGGGAGUGAACGGGAUUAGAUACCCCGGUAAUCCUGGCCGUAAACGAUGGGUACUAGGUGUAGGAGGUAUCGACCCCUUCUGUGCCGGAGUUAACGCAAUAAGUACCCCGCCUGGGGAGUACGGCCGCAAGGUUGAA